GACUUUUUCGAACGCGCUGCAAGCUGUUCAGGGCUUUAUUAACGAUAUUACAUUUAUUGCAAGGUUUCCGCAUAUAUUGGCCGUAGAAUGACUGUAGCAUCUUUUUUAUCAUGAAAAUAUGAAUAAAAAAUUUAAAACGAUAAUAA